UACGUAGGGUCCGAGCGUUGUCCGGAAUUACUGGGCGUAAAGAGCUCGUAGGUGGUUUGUCGCGUUGUUCGUGAAAACUCACAGCUCAACUGUGGGCGUGCGGGCGAUACGGGCAGACUGGAGUACUGCAGGGGAGACUGGAAUUCCUGGUGUAGCGGUGGAAUGCGCAGAUAUCAAGAGGAACACCUGCGGCGAAGGCGGGUUGCUGGGCCGACACUGACGCUGAGGCGCGAAGGCUAGGGGAGCGAACGGG
rnacentral:rRNA from 1 species